GAUGAACGCUGGCGGCGUGCCUAAUACAUGCAAGUCGAGCGAACAGAUGCGGAGCUUGCUCCUCUGACGUUAGCGGCGGACGGGUGAGUAACACGUGUAUAACCUACCUAUAAGACUGGGAUAACUUCGGGAAACCGGAGCUAAUACCGGAUAAUAUAUUGAACCGCAUGGUUCAAUAGUGAAAGACGGUUUUGCUGUCACUUAUAGAUGGAUCCGCGCCGCAUUAGCUAGUUGGUAAGGUAACGGCUUACCAAGGCAACGAUGCGUAGCCGACCUGAGAGGGUGAUCGGCCACAUUGGAACGGAGACACGGUCCUGACGCCUAAGGGAGGCAGCAGUAGGGAAUCGUCCGCAAUGGGCGAAAGCUUGACGGAGCAACGCCGCGUGAGUGAUGAAGGUCUUCGGAUCGUAAAACUCUGUUAUUAGGGAAGAACAAAUGUGUAAGUAACUAUGCACGGCUUGACGGUACCUAAUCAGAAAGCCACGGCUAACUACGUG
rnacentral:rRNA from 1 species